rnacentral:rRNA from 1 species
GAUGAACGCUGGCGGCGUGCCUAAUACAUGCAAGUCGAGCGAACGGACGAUAAGCUUGCUUCUCUGAUGUUAGCGGCGGACGGGUGAGUAACACGUGGAUAACCUACCUAUAAGACUGGUAUAACUUCGGGAAACCGGAUCUAAUACCGUAUAAUAUUUUGAACCGCAUGGUUCAAAAGUGAAAGACGGUCUUUCUGUCACUUAUAGAUGCAUCCGCGCUGCAUUAGCUAGUUGUUAAGUUAACGGCUUACCAAGGCAACGAUGCAUAGACGACCUGAGAGGGUGAUAGGCCACACUGGAACUGAGACACGGUCCAGACUCCUACGGGAGGCAGCAGUAGGGAAUCUUCCGCAAUGGGCGAAAGCCUGACGGAGCAACGCCGCGUGAGUGAUGAAGGUCUUCGGAUCGUAAAACUCUGUUAUUAGGGAAGAACAUAUGUGUAAGUAACUGUGCACAUCUUGACGGUACCUAAUCAGAAAGCCACGGCUAACUACGUG